AAGACCGCUUUUCCAAUUAAAGGAAGCACUUUUCUACAGCAUUAUCAACAUGGAUGGAUACAGGUAGCUGUGUCAUUUGCUUGUGAUGUUGGCCUAGAUGGGAAUGACUGAUAAAGCCUAACCCUAGAAUGCAAAUCUUACCCAAGAAAACUCGGAAGAUACAGUUUACGGCCUCUAGAAACCUAGCCGUGCACAAGCGGACAGCGUCCAGCUUUGCCGGAAUCAGAGAGGAUCCCACGGUGAGCCCAGGAUGAAGACAAGACUGAGAGGUGGCAGGGCUCCAGGCUUGGGUGAUGGCCCUCGGGUGAGCAGGAUGCAGCCGUGACUCAUUCUCUUCAUGCAGGACCCAUCGGCUCUGAAAGCCUGCAAACCCCAAAGGAGCUGAGGGAGAAAGGCCCCAAAGCUGGCCAGAGUGAGCAACCUGCAGGAGCACCCAGCGGCCACCGCUGGCGUCUUCGUUUGCAGCUUGCCAACGGCGUCUGCUGGCCUGGACACGCUUCUUGCUUUCAAAUGCGCAUCUCUCCCCCUUGCAACCCAAACACAAUGUGUGCAGGGGAAGCACAAGGCUGCUAAGGGAACCUGGGAGUCAGCAACAGGUAGGACCGGCUCAGCGCCUUAUCUCUGUGGGUGUCCGGCUGUCCAG